UGGGGAAUAUUGCACAAUGGGCGAAAGCCUGAUGCAGCAACGCCGCGUGAGCGAUGAAGGCUUUCGGGUCGUAAAGCUCUGUCCUAAGGGAAGAUAAUGACGGUACCUUAGGAGGAAGCCCCGGCUAACUACGUGCCAGCAGCCGCGGUAAUACGUAGGGGGCAAGCGUUAUCCGGAAUCAUUGGGCGUAAAGGGUGCGUAGGCGGCCCUGUGGGUUAGAGGUUAAAUAUUACGGCUCAACCGUAAUCCGCCUUUAAAACUACAGGGCUUGAGUGCAGGAGAGGAGAGUGGAAUUCCUAGUGUAGCGGUGAAAUGCGUAGAUAUUAGGAGGAACACCAGUGGCGAAGGCGACUCUCUGGACUGCAACUGACGCUCAGGCACGAAAGCGUGGGUAGCGAACAGG
rnacentral:rRNA from 1 species